CUUUCCACAAAGGACACGAUGUCUGUCUGUCUGUCUGUCCUCUGAGGACACCGAUGAGACAGAUGUGAGAGGCGUGGUGCUGAAUGAACUCCCCGACCAGCGCAGCAGCAGGAAGCGUCUCUUUCUUCUUGUGGCCUCUGGAGCUCCGGCUUCACUCAAAGUCAUCAACAUGAGAUUUUAGCUGAUGUGGUUUCAUUCUGUGUGUGGGUAACGAAGGGGACAGAAAUAGACGUCUCUACCAGUACACAAACGUAUGUAUAUAUGUACGGUAUGUAUAUGUGUGUACAUGUAUGUGUAAGUAGGAAGGACUUCCUGAACUGAACCUACUUUGAUUUCACAUCCAGCGUGAUGAGCUUUCUAAAGGUUGAAGUUUCUCUCAGGUCACCAAGCUUCAUGUACUUAUGUAUAAAAACUUCUUUAUUAUUUGUAUCAUCACAUGAAAGGAGACGUCAGCAUGAGGAGCAGUGAAGUGUCCCCUCGUUGUCUCACUAAAGGACACUUGGACGUGUGAGGCCGCUCUACCACUGAGGCACAUCCGUCCCUAAGCUGUCAAUCAAAGCGUGUGAGCCCGCCCCCAACCAGCUGAACCGUUACAACAUUAAUAUGAUGCUUACAUUCAAACUCUAUGAUAACAAGAAACCUUUAAGGCAGAACUCCAAAAUAAUUCAGCAGUAUGAGAAGUUUUACUUUUGAUACUUUAAGGAUGUUUUAAUACUUGUACUAAAUAUUACCAAUAAUAGUAAUAUUGUGUGUAGACAUAUUUAAUAUGAUGACAUCAUGUUUACAAGGAGAAAACAUCAGGAUCUAAACCAGCCCUCCUCCACAAGUACAAGUAUUUGUGUACAUUGUGUGUACUUCUACAGCGAGCUGAACCCACCAGGAUCCAGAACCACAGUAAACAGGUGGCUCCUCAGAUCCCUGCAGAGAGGAGACGAACACACAAACCACAGCUGACGAUGUUCAGAGAUGUUGAGCCGAGAUAUGAGUCUGAGGCGUGUGGUUAUCUGGGGGCGGGGCUUAGUUGCAUACAAAUACACACACAUACACAUAUAAAAAUACACACACACACACACACACACAUACACUACCAUCUUAUCCUAGUAGUCUGUAGGGAGACGUGUUUUCUACCAGAUUACAGUCAAAGUUACAACAGUUUGAAACACGAGGUUAACGUAAAGUUAAAGUAAACAAAACAACAAUUCUUCAAAAGUACUUAUGUUUAGAGGUAUAAGUACUUGGUUAUGUUUAGGUAUAAGUACUUGGUUGUAUUUAGAGGUAUAAGUACUUGGUUGUAUUUAGAGGUAUAAGUACUUGGUUGUGUUUAGAGGUAUAAGUACAUGUUUGUGUUUAGAGGUAUAAGUACUUGGUUGUAUUUAGAGGUAUAAGUACUUGGUUGUAUUUAGAGGUAUAAGUACUUGGUUGUGUUUAGAGGUAUAAGUACUUGGUUGUAUUUAGAGGUAUAAGUACAUGGUUGUGUUUAGAGGUAUAAGUACUUGGUUGUAUUUAGAGGUAUAAGUACUUGGUUGUGUUUAGAGGUAUAAGUACUUGGUUGUGUUUAGAGGUAUAAGUACUUGGUUGUAUUUAGAGGUAUAAGUACUUGGUUGUGUUUAGAGGUAUAAGUACAUGUUUGUGUUUAGAGGUAUAAGUACUUGGCUGUAUUUAGAGGUAUAAGUACUUGGGUGUAUUUAGAGGUAUAAGUACUUGGUUGUGUUUAGAGGUAUAAGUACUUGGCUGUAUUUAGAGGUAUAAGUACAUGUUUGUGUUUAGAGGUAUAAGUACUUGGCUGUAUUUAGAGGUAUAAGUACUUGGUUGUAU